rnacentral:tRNA from 2 species
GUAUUUAUAGUUUAAUAAAAAUAUUAGAUUGUGGUUCUAAAGACAAAAGUUAAAAUCUUUUUAAUUACC